rnacentral:lncRNA from 1 species
UGCCUCUCUUUGAGGAAGAGCACUGGCUCAAUGCCCGCCUUGAGGGGUAGGAGCACGUGCUGAUGGAAACGGAGCUCUGCAGUGUAACACAGGAGCAGCUGCCCUGGGAGCUGUCCUUCCUCUGGCUCCUGAGCUGAAGCUGGGCCUUGCUGCUUGUUUUAUCAGCUGCAGCAGACGCGUUGCCUUGCUCUGGGUUCCAUCACUCAGUGAAGUGGAAGCAGCAUUGCCCAGCCCCGCAUGGAGCAGCCCCGCGUUGCCUCCCAGCAACCAAAACCCCUGCUUGGCAGACCCUGUGGAAAGCAUCAGGCCAGGCAAAAACAGCAUAUACAGAAUGAAAGAUGCUCCAGGCUCUUCCUCGGCUCCACGAUAAUGAACACACACCCAGCCAGGCAAGCAGAUAGUGCUGCUCCUGCCCGGCCUCGCUCCUGGGGGCGGCUCAGUGCGUCGGAGCCGGGGCUGACCCAAGGAGCUGCGGACGGCGCCUGGUGGAGCAGGAGAAGCCCCAGUGCAGCAGUAACAGCAAGUGACCAAGCUUGUGUGGGUUGCAAGGUACCGCCUUGUGCCACAGCUUCUGGAGAACGCUGGAUCUCAGCAUUUCUUCUUUUACAUGGAAACGAGAUCUAGGAGGUGAAUGCCACUGGAGCAUGAUGUAGUACGUGGUCCAAACCUCAUCGACCCCAUCCGUACCCGGCCUGGAGCAGGACCCUGUGCUGUGCAGGGCAGUGGUUCCCCUGUCCCCUGCCCGCUGGGCGCUGCUUGCCGCAGCCAUCCCGAACACAAGGGUUGUUUUCCUCCCACAGCUGCUGUCUGUGUGACCUAGUUAUUGACUCAGCACACAUGGAAAGCCACAGGAGAACCAAACAGGCACGGUCUGAAUAAGGAACGCUGAUUACUAUUUUAAGCCCUUUAUCGUGUAGAAGCAUUCUGAGCUCAGGCACACUCCUCAUCGGCAGCAGUGAGAUAACUAGAAAGGCUUCUCCCCCUGCCCUGCAGUUUGGCAGUGCUGGAUUUUCAGGCAAUUAAAAUCACUUCACACGUCUCUGGUGUACCUGUUAGUCUCUGUAUUUGCAUGCCAACACGAUUCAGACUUGAAAUAGCAAAUUAUCUUAUUUGGAGGAGGUGUUUUCUAGGUUCUUUUACUUAAUUGCUGCAAGGUGAAUAUUUCAGGUGGAUUAAUUUAAGUAAAUGACACUUGAAUGACUAUAUUGCUUUGGGACAGAGGUGAGGAAAACCCCAGUGACUGAUGCAAAUAAAGCUCUUGUUCUUUUUGUCUGCCCUUUAAGG